UCUCCACUUCCUAAGCCUUUACCCUUCAAAACCCUAACUUUAUCCCCUUUCUUACAAUUCUGACCCAAAAAUCAAUCAAAAAUCUUGUGGGGGAAGCCGAUAUCCAUGAAUGUUGAAGAUUCUAGGGACUAAGCCCUUUCUCUGCUCACUAUCGUGCUCAACCAUUCUGAUUUGGCAAUGAAGCUUUCGUCUCUUAAAUAGGCCAAGGACAUUCUUUCCUCUCUCAGUUCUUCUUCCGCCAUCAAACUCUUCCCCUACCUUUCUGAACUCCAGCUUUCUCAUCAUAGCCUCGUUAGGGGAUUUCUUGUCGAAUGAGUUUCAAACCCCAAAUCUUUCCAAUUUUAAACAUGAAACAUGAUGAUCUCAUGGUUUUAUUUCUUUGACAGAAACAUGAAGAUUGCAGGCGUCAACUCUUUAAUAGGAGAACUUCGAAAUAUAAGUUCAAAUGAGAUUACUUUACUUGACCACUGUCAAGAACUUGUAUCAACAAUUAUUAUUGAGAUAAGCAUCUGAUGCCACUUGAAGUGCUUAAUUUCAAUUUAAAGCAUUCCGCCUCAUUGUUAUGUCUUUGUUGGCAUUACUCAUGUUUUAGUUGUUUUUUUGUUUAAUUAAAAAUACAAUAUGCAAGGUCAAAGAAGGUUAAAUUUAUGGUAAAUAUCUUGAUUGCUUUUACUCUCAGUAGUGGAAGCAAUAUCUGACUUUUGUGAUUGCAGUGAA